rnacentral:rRNA from 1 species
UACGGAGGGGGCUAGCGUUGUUCGGAAUUACUGGGCGUAAAGCGCACGUAGGCGGCUUUGUAAGUUAGAGGUGAAAGCCCAGGGCUUAACCCUGGAAUUGCCUUUAAGACUGCAUCGCUAGAAUCGUGGAGAGGUGAGUGGAAUUCCGAGUGUAGAGGGUGAAAUUCGAUAGAUAUUCGGAAGAACACCAGUGGCGAAGGCGACUCGACUGGACACGUAUUGACGCUGAGGUGCGAAA